GAUUCAUUUUAUCCAUCAGACGAAUUCCAUUUCGCGAUUCUUAAAUAAUUAUUGAAUUAUUGAGAACUCACACACUUUCUGAGCGGUCGGACGAUGAGCCUGUAGAUCCAAAGCAGGAACUUGAAGAGCGAUGCAAGGCACCAUGUACUCGACCACUUAAAGAAUAUCAGGCAUGUGCUAAAAGGAUUCAAGGUGAUGAAAGUGGGCACAAGCACUGUACU